rnacentral:rRNA from 1 species
GACGAACGCUGGCGGCGUGCUUAACACAUGCAAGUCGAACGGAAAGGCCCUGCUUGCAGGGUACUCGAGUGGCGAACGGGUGAGUAACACGUGGGUGAUCUGCCCUGCACUUCGGGAUAAGCCUGGGAAACUGGGUCUAAUACCGGAUAGGAGCCAUUUUUAGUGUGAUGGUUGGAAAGUUUUUUCGGUGUAGGAUGAGCUCGCGGCCUAUCAGCUUGUUGGUUGGGUAAUGGCCUACCAAGGCGGCGACGGGUAGCCGGCCUGAGAGGGUGGACGGCCACAUUGGGACUGAGAGACGGCCCAGACUCCUACGGGAGGCAGCAGUGGGGAAUAUUGCACAAUGGGCGCAAGCCUGAUGCAGCGACGCCGCGUGGGGGAUGACGGACUUCGGGUUGUAAAUUCCUUUCGCUAGGGACGAAGCUUUUUGUGACGGUACCUAGAUAAGAAGCACCGGCUAACUACGUG